rnacentral:rRNA from 1 species
GAUGAACGCUGGCGGCGUGCCUAAUACAUGCAAGUCGAACGCUGAAGGAAGGAGCUUGCUCUUUCCGGAUGAGUUGCGAACGGGUGAGUAACGCGUAGGUAACCUGCCUGGUAGCGGGGGAUAACUAUUGGAAACGAUAGCUAAUACCGCAUAACAGUAGAUGUUGCAUGAUAUCUACUUAAAAGGUGCAAUUGCACCACUACCAGAUGGACCUGCGUUGUAUUAGCUAGUUGGUGAGGUAACGGCUCACCAAGGCGACGAUACAUAGCCGACCUGAGAGGGUGAUCGGCCACACUGGGACUGAGACACGGCCCAGACUCCUACGGGAGGCAGCAGUAGGGAAUCUUCGGCAAUGGACGGAAGUCUGACCGAGCAACGCCGCGUGAGUGAAGAAGGUUUUCGGAUCGUAAAGCUCUGUUGUAAGAGAAGAACGAGUGUGAGAGUGGAAAGUUCACACUGUGACGGUAGCUUACCAGAAAGGGACGGCUAACUACGUG